rnacentral:lncRNA from 1 species
AUAUGCAGCCAAGUUUUAUAGUUGAUGAUUCAGAUGAUGAAGACAUGGUUGAUGAUGCUGUUGAAGAGGAAAGUGAUGAUGCUGUUGAAGAGGAAAGUGAUGAUGAUGUCUUUGAUUCUGUCUGUGCAUUUUGUGAUAAUGGUGGCAACAUUAUAUGGUAUUUGUUUCUGUUCCUUGUUAUCAGAUGAACAUUUUGGUAAUGCUUUAAAAUGCUGGAGGUGGCCUUGAGGCUUUUCCUCUUGGAGAGGCCGAGGAGUAAGCCUCAAAAAGUGAAUAAAAACAUCUUGAAAAUCCUAAAUUGGUAUAAAUAGCCAAGUAGUGCUAAACAUGAUUGUCAUGUAAAAGUGCUAAGAGAAAAUUC